rnacentral:rRNA from 1 species
UAACCGGAUUAGAUACCCUGGUAGUCCACGCCCUAAACGAUGUCAACUAGUUGUUGGGGAUUCAUUUCCUUAGUAACGUAGCUAACGCGUGAAGUUGACCGCCUGGGGAGUACGGUCGCAAGAUUAAAACUCAAAGGAAUUGACGGGGACCCGCACAAGCGGUGGAUGAUGUGGAUUAAUUCGAUGCAACGCGAAAAACCUUACCUACCCUUGACAUGCCACUAACGAAGCAGAGAUGCAUUAGGUGCUCGAAAGAGAAAGUGGACACAGGUGCUGCAUGGCUGUCGUCAGCUCGUGUCGUGAGAUGUUGGGUUAAGUCCCGCAACGAGCGCAACCCUUGUCUCUAGUUGCUACGAAAGGGCACUCUAGAGAGACUGCCGGUGACAAACCGGAGGAAGGUGGGGAUGACGUAA